rnacentral:tRNA from 1 species
UGGUCUAGUGGUGAAGGCACCUGGCUAGAAACCAGGAGAGUGUGAGUUCUAAUCCCAU